AGAAAUUUACUGACUGAAUAGCAAUCGCAGUAGAACGGUAGCAGACAAUCUAACUGCUUCUGUAAUGUAUCCAAAACUACCCGAAGCUAGUAAAUCGUGUCCUCCAUACAGAAGAACCUCGAUUUCAAGGACUGCGAUUUAACAAACUUCAGAUUUAAUGGACAGAAAAUAGUGUCCAGGUGGGACUGAAAAUCACCCCUUUCAUGCACCAGUGAGGACAGGUGGAGGCCAAGAAGCCGAGCAGGAGGCUGAAGAGGGUCGGGAGAAUUUCUCGAAGGGUUCGUGGCGUGUUGGACACCACUAUUUUCCACACGUGAAGAGAGGCCUGGCGAACCACCAGCUGGGUGUCAGAACGUCCCAUAUAGAGGCCGGAAAGGACACGGUUACGCCGCUCAGCCCCGAGAGCUGAAAUGAUAGCCUAAAAGAAGUGCAGCUAUGUGCCACGUUGAGUCAUCGCUCUCAUGAGACCACGCACACAUCCAUUCAGGCAGGCUGUGAUUGGUCCAUGGCUUCACACAAGAGACCUUGGUGUUUCCUUGGUGUACGGUGCCACAACCAGCAUGUGGCAGUGUUGAGUUGAGCUUCACAGAGCUCCAGACGUCACGUUCAGUGCCUCACCAAUCAUGAACCUCACCGCACGUCACUGCAAUGCGCAAGCGCACAAAACUGGACGUUACAUUGCGCACGCGCACAAAACUGGACGUUACAUUGCGCACGCGCACAGAACUGGACGUUACAUUGCGCACGCGCACAGAACUGGACGUUACAUUGCGCACGCGCACAGAACUGGACGUUACAUUGCGCACGCGCAGAAAUCUGGACGUUGCAGUGCGCAAGCACACAAAUCUGGACGUUACAUUGCGCACGCGCACAAAUCUGGACGUUACAUUGCGCACAAUUGCAAGGCGGUGUGUUUAUGGAAGUAAAUGCGGCCCCUUGCGGAGGGUCAUAUGAUGAAUUUGUGGCGAUUGCAACGAUUUUGUGCAACAAAGCCAACAUUUUCUUAUAUUUAUCAGUUCUAAAGCAUCUUUUGUCACCACUGACUGUUUGCUACUGCUUCGUCCGCCGUUGCUGUUUUGUGGCGUGUGUUUUGUCAAACAACUGACAUUUGUCGCCUUUUGAUGACUUAUAGGUUGGAUGCGCACUCCGUGAGCAUCCAUACUGCAUUUGCGUCAGAUACAUAUGGGAUUUAUAUCUACAUAUGAAAGAGGCCUGGGUCGGAUAUGAAAAAAAAUCAUAGCUUUGCUGUUCACAUUGACAUGAAAAAAAUCAGAUACAUAGCACAUUGGGGGGGGAGGUAAAAAAAUAAUUUAAAAUAAAUAAAUCAAUCAAAUAAAAAAAAAACAGAUUUGACCUGCAGUGUGAACAUAACCUCAGAUCAACAGAAACAAUAAGCAAUGUUAGUGACCUUGGGCUGCCCCAGAACGAUCAACUGAGCUCUGCUCAGAGGCCAGCGUCUCCAUGAGCCAUGGCAGAAGGUCAUCAAAGCAGGAUUCACCCAUUCCCUUCACCAUGGUGCCCAGGGCUUUGGCAGACACUGUACGCACCUGGAGAGAAGUGGCUACAGUAUCAGCUUCAGACACAUACAGUUGUUUGAACUCGUUAUCAGUAUAAAAGACACCUGUCCACAACCUCCAACAAUCACACUCCAUACUCCUCUAUGGCCAAGACCAAAGAGCUGUCAAAGGACACCAUAAACAAAAUUGUAGACCAACAACCAGGCUGGGAAGAUUGAAUCUGCAAUAUCUGUUAUUGACCAAAUACUUAUUUUCCAACAUAAUUUGCUAAUAGAUUAUUUAAAAAUCAGAAUGUGAUUUUCUGGAUUAUCCCCCCCCCCCCUCAUUGGUAAGGUAUACCUAUGAGGAAAAUUAUAUUCCUGUCAUCUUUUUAAGAUAACUUGCACAAUUGGCUGACUAAAUACUUUUUUGCGCCACUGUUGACACACCCAGACAGACACACACAUACAGACAGACACACACACUGCUCUAUUUGUCUGUCACUGAACCCACCUCAGGCACUGGGUCCAACAAGGAAGUCUUCAGUCCAGGAAUGACACUAGGCAGGUAUGGUGACAGAUCCUAUUCACACAACAUAAACAUGACAGUAUUUUAUUCAUCCCUAGAAUAUAGUGCUUGACAAGCUUAAUAAAAUUUUAUACAGUAUUGUUGUAUUGCAAAAGAACAGUACCUUCUGGUCCGUAAGGGAGUACAUAUUGCCAAUAAUCUGCGCGGCCAUCUUGCGAGUGUCAGUGGAACGAUCCAGGAAGGCUCUCUGGACAAUAGGCAUGAUCAAGGCGAGGGAAGGGGCAUCAAUGAAGUGUACAAACUUGGUGUCCAGAAGGGUUUGAAGACAUGUCUGGGUCCUUCGGGAUGGAUCAGUGAGAGCAUCCAGCAGGAUGGGCGUUAUAGCUUGGAAAGGGAUAAUGAGAGUCAUUAUGAAUGAGGUACUAUGACAUACUGUUGACAUACAUUGCCUUGCCACACUUCUGUCUCUAUGAUUCUCAUUUGCUCUGACAUGCACUGUGAGCUGUAAGGUUUUAUAUAGAUAGGUGUGUGGCUUUCCUAAUCAAGUCCAAUCAGUGUAUUCAAACACAGCUGAACUCCAAUGAAGGUGUAUAAUCAUCUCAAGGAUGAUCAGAAGAAAUGGACAGCACCCGGGUUAAAUAUGAGUGUCACAGCAAAGUGUCUGAAUACUUAUGGCUGUGUGAUAUUUCAUUUUUGG